CGCGUAGGCGGCUCGGCACGUCCGUUGUGAAAUCGCCCGGCUCAACUGGGCGGGGUCGGCGGAUACGGCCGAGCUGGGGCAAGCUAGGGGGUAAUGGAAUUCCCGGUGUAGUGGUGGAAUGCGUAGAUAUCGGGAGGAACACCAGUGGCGAAGGCGGUUACCUGGAGCUUUGCUGACGCUGAUGCGCGAAAGCGUGGGGAGCGAUCC
rnacentral:rRNA from 1 species